UAACGCUUAGUCACCCACUGAUGAAUGCCUGAGUUUCCUUCCUUUGAAUUUGUUUUGGUGACAGAAAUACCAAAGGGCAGGAGAGGUUGGCAGAGUGUAAAGGCGUAUUUGGAGGCCCUUUGGAGGCAGCAGUGGGAGAGGGGAGGAGAGUCCAACCAAGGUUCUCAUAUUGGGAGAAUUCAGCUGCUAUGUCAUGAGGCAAUCCCAUGGAGAAGCCAUCAUGUGAACUUGGAAGUAGAUCUUCUGGGGUCCUCCAGAAGUCAUGUGAAUGUGCUUGGUAAUAGACCCCCUCCAGCUGAGCCUCAAGGUGACUACAGCCCUUGCCAACAUCUUGAGUUUAGCCUGGUGAGAUAUCCUGACCCAGAACCAUCCAGGGAUAAAUGCCCAAGUGUGUAGUCCUGCUCAAGUGCUGGGUUCUACGGUUCCUGAGACAAAUAGAAGAACAAAAGAUGCAAAAAUCUCUGCAUGUAGCUUAAACUCUAAUAGUGGGAGACAGAUACUUAACAAUGAACAUAACAAAUCACAUAGUUAGAAGAUGACAAAUGCUACGAAGAAAAGAAAUGCACCAGGUAAGGUGGGCUGGGCAUGUGUGUGUGUGAAUAUUAUUUUGGAAAAUGAUUCAUUGCAAUAUUCCCAUGGUGGAACCCUGAGAAUGCUAUUAAUACUUCAGGGGGAUAUUAAUAAACGCCAUGGAGAUGGGGUAAGG
ensembl:lncRNA